GGGCGGUUAGCUCAGCUGGCAGAGCACCUGCUUUACACGCAGGGGGUCGGCGGUUCGAUCCCGUCACCGCCCA
rnacentral:tRNA from 1 species